ensembl:snoRNA
AUUUUUAUUUUUUAUAUGCCUAUUUUUAUCCUGUGGUGACAUGUGCCACCCUCAAACCUUGUGAUGACAUUGGCAUAUUACCCUUCUAACA